UUUGGUAAAGCCAUGGCUGGAUCUCUGGAGAAUCCUUGAUGCAACUGAAAGAACCUAGUGGGGAAACCCCCACUCAACUCCCGAUUCGGCGUACACCCAAGAAUCACGAAUAGAACA
rnacentral:pre_miRNA from 7 species